rnacentral:tmRNA from 1 species
GGGGGUGCAUUGGCUUCGACGGGGGUUGCGAAAUCACCUGGUGCAUGCCGAGGGGGCAGCUUUCCUCGUAAAUCCAGCGGCAAACU